rnacentral:misc_RNA from 1 species
GAUGAAGAACGUAGCGAAAUGCGAUAAGUAAUGUGAAUUGCAGAAUUCAGUGAAUCAUCGAAUCUUUGAACGCAUCUUGCGCUCCUUGGUAUUCUGAGGAGCAUGCCUGUUUGAGUGUCAUUAAAUUCUCAACUACACUGACUUUGAAUUGGUGUGGCUUGGAUUUGGGGGGAAAAUUGUUGUGGGCUUUUUGUAUAGUCUGCUCCCCUGAAAUUGAUUAGCGGUACCUUUGUGAAACUGUCUACAGGUGUGAUAAUUAUCUACAUCUUAGACAUCUGCUGGAAUGCUGCUUUCUAAACCUUACUUGUAUUGACAAUCUUGACCUCAAAUCAGGUAGGACUACCCGCUGAACUUAAGCAUAUCAAUAAGCGGAGGA